rnacentral:rRNA from 1 species
ACGUAUAGUUUGAUCCUGGCUCAGGAAGUCUAACAAGGUAACCAGUAUUGGAUCCUCUAAAGUUUGAUCCUGGCUCAGGAAAUCCAAACAAGGUAACCCGUAUUGGAUCCCCUAAAGUUUGAUCCCCGCUCGAGGGCCCUGAAAAAGGAUACCAGAAUUGUAUCCUCUAUAUUUUUAUCCCCUGGCUCAGUAAGUCGUAACAAGGUAACCAGUAUGGUCCUCUAGAUUACC